rnacentral:rRNA from 1 species
UGGGGAAUAUUGCGCAAUGGGGGGAACCCUGACGCAGCAACGCCGCGUGAGCGAAGAAGGCCUUCGGGUCGUAAAGCUCUGUCAUGAGGGAAGAAGUCUCUCGUUUAUAGGGAGGUGACGGUACCUCAAGAGGAAGCCCCGGCUAACUACGUGCCAGCAGCCGCGGUAACACGUAGGGGGCGAGCGUUGUCCGGAAUUACUGGGCGUAAAGGGCGUGUAGGCGGCUGAUUAAGUCAGUUGUAAAAGGCUGCGGCUCAACCGCAGGAAUGCAAUUGAAACUGAUCAGCUUGAGGGCAAGAGAGGGAAGCGGAAUUCCUAGUGUAGCGGUGAAAUGCGUAGAUAUUAGGAGGAACACCAGUGGCGAAGGCGGCUUUCUGGCUUGUCCCUGACGCUGAGGCGCGAAAGCGUGGGGAGCAAACAGG